rnacentral:lncRNA from 1 species
UUAUAUAGAUUUUUCUAAGAAAUAUGCUUAGCUAUAUAGAUUGCAACAAGAAAUCUAGACUUCCUGAAUGUCAGAAUAAAUAAAAAGGCAAUCCAAGUCCAACAUCGGAUAUUAGACAUAAUAAAGUCUAAUAUAUAUAGCUGGUCCAAUUCCACUUAGUAUGAGGCCUUUUGGGAGUAACGACCCAAGAACAAAUCCGUGAGGGCUUAGGCCCAAAGCGGACAAUAUCAUACUAAGCGAGGGGUUGGACAUCUGGUGUCGG